AAUGAGUUGUCCAGACCCCCCCCCCCCCAAGACUCUAGAGGCGCACGGUUCAUUUUCCUCUCGUUUCUCUCUCUAGGGUUAGCCUCUCUCCUCUCUUUCACUCGUGUUCCCUCAGAUCCAGCGAUUAUGCAUGGUCGGAAGCAUAGAUCCGAGGUGGAGAGGCGGGGGAUGCACGCGGAGCAGCGAUGCGCUGAGAUCCAUGGUGAACAUUUGUACAAGAAUGCACAAGAUAGGAGCAGACAAACUUUAGUCUCUCAGCCUAAGUCAUCCAUGGUGAUCUCUAGGAAAAGCUCAGGACAUUCGAGUGCUCUUCCGGGCUGUCACUGCUUCUCUCCAAGCCCCCAGGCUGCUGGUCCUACUGCAUCAUGUUCCUCGAGGACCCAUGGUCAUUCCCUAACCCUCUGGUAUGCUAUCGAUUUUCGUACUAAGUAUAUAGUAUGUCAUGUUAAAUUAUCUAGUGCUGUUACCAUCCAUCCAUUGGUUGAUUCAGAUAUGUUUUGACCACCUGUUGUGUCCACGUACUACUCAUGUGCAAGCCACGUUAAGGAAUAGUUGGUGGAAAAUUGAAGAAGCUAGCAAUUGCCAAUUGGCAUAGAUGUUGAUUGAUGAUAGGGACAUAACAUAGAUAGACUGACAGUAGCUACGGCACGCAUAACAAAAGACUUACGUUUAUAACCAGUUGAAAUUGUGAGUGCAAAGUAUAGAAUUCCUGUUGCACGUCUCGUUCCUUGCUCAUCUAAUUUGGUAGCCUUUUGUAACCGUGAGUACAAAGUAUAGAGUUAUAUUGUUCUCCUUUGCAAUUUUUGUAAACUAGCUUGGUGGCUUUGACUAAGCAUGUGCAAAACUACAUAUCCGUAUGUCUCUGCAACCCACAAAUCUUUCUACUAGCAUUAUCAGAAGCAUUUUAAUAAAUUUUAGUAUGCAUUUAAAUACUAUUUAGAUAGCAUUUUAAAUGUUCAGUUCAAGCAAUUCUUUUUUGAGCAUUUCAUACGUCUCAAGUGAUAGACUCUCUUCUUGUCUGGAACCAAGUCUUUUACAUCAUUACAGUCAUAGGCCAAGUAGAUGGACAUCUUUUAUCAGUGCAAGGACAUCCAAAAGUUGUAUAGUGUCCUGUGCUGGAUUUUACUGCUUUAAUAAAUCAAUACCCUCAUUACCUACGCCUACACAAGCAACCCGUAUGUCACAGCUGAUCACCUUCAUUGUACAUGUUUAGAGAUUCUUGUUUGAGUUAUUUGUAGGACAAGGGCUGGGAUUUCUAGAGCUAACCAGUAUUAUGCUUCCUAUCCUGCUGGUACUGAGUUACUGAUUGAUACAGCAAAGCUUUACGAGACGGCAUUAGGUAAUUGUUUUCAAAUAGAUGACUAGGGCCCAAUAGAAUUCUCCAUCAUGGCAAAGCAUUUUGACUUUUCCUUACCAGAGACAUAUAAAUUGCAAUGCCAAGAGUAAAGAACGGGCAACGGGGCCGGGCAACAUCAUCCAAUGCUGUAUUUCACAAUAUCUGCUUCACCUGUCACUACUAAUAUGGCCAUGCUUUUUCAUUAUAGGCAAUUAUGUUUACUUUAUUAGGCAAAAUAUUAACUCCAGUUGGCAUUUUUCACCACCAAAAUUGCUUUUAUCACCAGAUCGAAGAAAUAAUGGAAAGGAUCCCCUCUUUUUAACCAUUUUUUUGUGUUCAUUUCAUCCCAGGCAGUUAUGUUUACCUUAUUAGGCAAAAUAAUUAAUUCCAGUUUGCAUAUUCACCACUGAAAUUGCUUUAGCCACCAAAAUAAUUAAUUCCGCGGUGCCUGCAUGGCACAUUUUGUUAUUAGGCAGAUUAGCAUCUCUUCUAUCCCACGACUAGGCAAUAAUGUGUAUACUACCUGGCAAAACAAAAUACUUUGUACAAGCUUUUUUUGAACCAUAUUAUAUCUGUACCAAAAGCUAACAUGCUGGCAACAACAAUGUGUUUACAAAAGGGCAAAAUAGAGUACAUUGCCCAAGCAUUUUUCCCAAUCAGUAAGCUAAUCUACUGUAAGAAAGCUACCGUGCUGAUGUUCUUCUCGUUUCUGCUUUUUUUUUGCAGUCAUUUCUACUGUAACAAAAGCUAACAUGCUGUGGUGGGGACGAAAGGAGCAAUCUAGUUCAGGCAAGGUUGGGACAUCAUUCAGCAGAUUCGGCAUCAAGCAGAUUUUUGGACUUUUCUUUUUUUUCUCUUUCAAAAAUCUAUUGUACAUGUCAGCCUAGGUUCAGCUCUAAACUCCAAUUAUAAUGCUCAAGAAGAUUUUUGCCCCCCUACCCACCCACCCACCCACACACACAAUCUACUGUACAUGUCAGUCUAUGUUGUGCUCCAAGCUCCUAUUUAAAAUGCUCAAGUAAACUUGUGUAAUGGAAAAGAAAUAGGGCUUCAAAGGAAGUGGACCCCGCCAGAUGCUCUUUUUUUGCUUUUUAUUUGGCGGGGAUGGGGUGGACAAGCGCUAGUUGGCGCCAAAAUCACCCGUGGGUUCUAGAAUUGACGGAUUAGCAAGGUGGUAUUACCAGAUUAGAAAGACACUGGUUGGACUUUCUAAAAAUAGUAAAAAUUGUAUGGCCAUACGAAGAAAAAUAAAAAAAAGGCUUAAGCCUUUCCAGCCCUCCCGUAUCCCUCUCAGUCUCGCGUACUCUAUCCCUUCCCCCUGCGGUCCUCUUCCCGAACGCCUCUCUCGGUUCUUUCUCCCCCACCAAACCUUCCCUCGAUAGGAUGCCGGCACCGGCUAGAUCCGGCGAGGACUAGGCUUGGGGCGGCUGGAUCUGGCGAGGACGAGGCUUGGGGCGGCUGGAUCCGGCGAGGACGAGGCUUUGGGCGGCUGGAUCCAGCGAGGACGACACCGGCUUCCGGCGAGGAUGAGGCCCGAGGCGACCGGAUCCGGCGAGGAGGGGGUGACCGGCGGCCUGAUCCAACAGGGACGAGGCCUAGGGCGCCCGGGUCCGGCGAGGACGAGACCUAGGGCGCCCGGGUCCGGCAAGGAUGGGGGCUUGGGCCAGGCCAGUGGCGGCUGCAUCCAGAGACCGCGGCGGCGGGCGUCACCGGGAGGGGCCGUCCCUGUCCGGAUCCAGCGCACGAGGAGGACAGCAGCGGCGGUAUACGAGGACGACGACGGAAGCGGCCGGAUCCUGCACCAAAAACCUCCUUCCUUAGAGUGAUCCACGGUCCAUCCAUCUAAAGAAGAUAGUUGAUGUACAGAUGGAGAUGCCCUCAUCAUGGUUCUUCUUGAUGCUAUUCUUGUUGCCACUUUGGCACAGAUGACCAGGUGAAAGAACGAGUUCCACCUCCUGUGCAUCAUUAAUGGCCAUCAUGAGCUGAAGACUUUGCGGAUUAAUGGCCUGCUUGGAAACCAAAGCGGAGACUGAUGAUCCACAAGCCAAGGAUACAUGUAGGUCUUAGGGGUGCUUGGUUUUUAAACCAAGGUAUUGUUUACUUGUGGGGUGGGCAUCUAUGACUUAUUGUAGGACUUGUACAUAUGAUAUUAAUUGUUGAAAUGUAAUAUUAUUGGUUUGGAAUCAUUAAAUGGUGUGUUGGUAUAAGAUUUGGCUGAUAUGUGUGUGAUAAAUUAAUAUUGAUUGUGAUUGGAAAUAUAAAUUUGCAAGGUAAA